GUUGAAGUAAAUGGUGCUGCCGUUCCAUGUAAGGGUGAGGUUGCCGUUCGCGAGAAGAGAGAAGGAGUACUCCCCGGAGCGCAAGGUCUGGCCCACGGUGAAGUUUUGGGACUGGAGGAUGGUGUCGGUGGGGUUAACGAAGGUGUCCCAGACGACGGCGGUGGAGUUCUUGAGCUCGAAGUCGCCCGAAUCAAGGAGGGAGGCGGCGGACACACCCUUGCCCGCGGUGCCGGACUCCCAGACGACCGUGCCGGAGCCGUCGACUAGGCGGAGGUUGCCAUCAGAGCGGAGCUGGAGGGAGGCGGCGGAAUCGACCGAAGCUCCGCCGCCGGCGGUCCACACGGGGAUGCCACCGGAGUAGGUUAUGGCAGCGAGGUACCGGGAGGUGUUCUGUGGGUCGGAGAUGAAGCCGAGGGAGUACGUCCCGCUGGGGGACGACCAGGAGGACGAGUUCAAGGGGGAGAGGGAGGAUCCGAGGGGGAUGUCCGCCGCGCCGGCGAGCCAGAGGGAGCCGACAAGGAGGAGCAGCAGGGG
rnacentral:lncRNA from 1 species